GUGGGGAAUAUUGGACAAUGGGGGGAACCCUGAUCCAGCCAUGCCGCGUGUGUGAAGAAGGCCUUUUGGUUGUAAGGCACUUUAAGCGAGGAGGAGGCUACCGAGAGUAAUACUCUUGGAUAGUGGACGUUACUCGCAGAAUAAGCACCGGCUAACUCUGUGCCAGCAGCCGCGGUAAUACAGAGGGUGCAAGCGUUAAUCGGAUUUACUGGGCGUAAAGCGCGCGUAGGUGGCCAAUUAAGUCAAAUGUGAAAUCCCCGAGCUUAACUUGGGAAUUGCAUUCGAUACUGGUUGGCUAGAGUAUGGGAGAGGAUGGUAGAAUUCCAGGUGUAGCGGUGAGAUGCGUAGAGAUCUGGAGGAAUACCGAUGGCGAAGGCAGCCAUCUGGCCUAAUACUGACACUGAGGUGCGAAAGCAUGGGGAGCAAACAGGAUUAGAUACCCGAGUAGUCC
rnacentral:rRNA from 1 species